rnacentral:lncRNA from 1 species
CGUAGGGAGGCGCGCGCGCGGGCGGCUCAGGGCCCGCGUUCCUCUCCCUCCCGCCUACCGCCACUUUCCCGCCCUGUGUGCGCCCCCACCCCCACCACCAUCUUCCCACCCUCAGCGCGGGCGCCCCGCGGUGACGGCCCAGGGGCCGGACGCCUGGAACGCAACUCCAGGCAGCUCGCCCCCUAGCUACAUCCGUCACCUGACACGGCCCUACCAGGAACAGCCGCGCUCCCGCGGAUUCUGGUGCUGCUCGCGUCCCCGCUCCCCUAUUCCCCUUAUUUUAUUCCUGGCUCCCCUCGUCGAAAGUCUUCCAUUCUUCAAACUAGAUUAUUUAAAAAUGAAAAAGGAAGAAAGGAAAGCGAGGUCAUCUCAUUGCUCUAUCCGCCAAUCAGGAGGCUGAAUGUCAGUUUUGAACUAAAAGCCGCUCCGCUCCUCUUCUAGAUUUGGAAAACAAGCGAAAUUAAACUAAACCGCUGCACGCCUCUGACGCGACAUCUGGACACGGCGCGGCGCUGGCGCUGCCGGAGCUGUCGACCCGGCCUGGCGCCGGACUAGUGUCCCUUUUGAUGAGAAGAAUAAGCCUCAUUCUGAUUCAACAGCAGAGAUCAAAGAAAAGACUUCUGUUUUCUGGCCACCAGAUAUAUGUUAUCUGUGCUUAAAGAAUUGAAAAACACACAUCAAAGGAGAAUUUUCUUGGAAAGAGAGGGUUCAAGCAUCACUGUUAGGUGUGCUGGAAUCCUUUCCCGAGUCAGUACUGCUUUCUAGAAGAAAACCGGGGAGAUCUAUUUGGAAUGUAUCUAACUCCAAAGAAACCAUCAGAGGUAACAGUAGAGACGGGGUUUCACCAUGUUGGCCAGACUGGUCUUGAACUCUCGACCUCGUGAUUCGCCCGCCUCGGCCUCCCAAAGUGCUGGGAUUACAGGUGUGAGACACCACACCCGGCGGAUAGAGAGAAUUUUGACAGGUGAUGGAGGCUUUUUAUUUUGCCACAAAACCACUGGUGACGUUGCCUGUGGCCACCUUGGAGAAGACACUGGAGGCCUGGGACAUGGAGACUGCUUUUCUGCAGAAACCACAUCCCUUGGAGUAAUGAGCUACACCUACCUCAAUUAUUCAGUGCAGUACAACACUCCAGACAGGGUCUCACUCUGUCACCCAGGCUGGAGUGUAUUGGCAUGAUUACAGCUCACUGCAACCUUGAACUCCCAGGCUCAAACCUGAGCAGCUGGGACUACAGAUGCACCACCAUGCAUGGUACCAGAGAUAUAAUAAUGAGAAACAGACAUGCUCCCUCCCCUCAUUGAGGUUACAGCUUAGUGUGGAGACACACAGAUGCCUAACGCACUAUGGUAUGGAAGGUGCUAUGGACACAGUGCUCAAAUCCAUGAUCUACAUAGGUGGAGAACUUCAGUAGAGGAAGUGGCAGGAAUUUGGGAAUGAGGAGCACAGUGAUUAAACUGGGGCCAUUCAUAUGAGAGUUUAAGAACUCAGACCAGUGACUUAGAUUGGCUUCUCUCACAUGGCAAGAAACAUUGCUGCUAGCACUUCCCGAGUUCUACGUUCUACAACAUCCACCACUGGAUCUUAACAUAGACGUAAGAUCAAAUGCAAUAGCAUGUCAAACAAUGUGUAACUCCAGUUAUACAAACAUUACUGUAUCUCAUUGGGGAUACGAAGCUCUACACACUUGAAGAUGGUGAAGGAAUAUAAAAAUCUAUGUCUCACAGUCCAGACUUGGAGUACAAGUAAUAAGAAGAAUAAAACUUAAUCCCUUAAGUAGAUUCACCAUAAGUUAGCUCAGAGCAAUUCCAGUGCAAGUAUGGUCUGUGAUCCAGUAGUAUCUUACAGACAGCAAGUUGAACAUUGUGGGAUGCAUGAGCUAUUGAGGCCUUUGCAGCUUUCUGCUACAUGGAGGCUAGGGCCAGAGUCAAGAUUUAUGCUUUGCAGCACACUGGUCAGCUGUUUUUGCAAAUCAGAUUAAAUGAUUUUUAAAUGAGGCUGAGAGCAUGGGAGAUACUAAUGUGUGUUUCCUUGUGAGCUACUGCAUAAGUUAGGAAAUUGAAAUACAGAAAGAUGAAAAGUGAUUUGCCCAAGCAUAUAGAUCAAAGCUGUGGCAGAACCAGGACUGGAACCUAUAUCUCUCUACUAAUGGUUUUUUUAAAAAAAUAACCUUGUUUCAAAAAUAUUAAAAAGUCACAAGAAAGGUAAACAUGUGGAUAAACAAAAUGAAGAAAAUAAAAAUUAUCCAGUAAUAACAUAUUGGCAUAUGUCUUUCUGGUAUAUUUUCCUGUGUUGUCAUCAUUAUCAUCUCCAUCAUCAUUAUAUCCAUCAUUAUCAUCAU